rnacentral:rRNA from 1 species
GACGAACGCUGGCGGCGUGCUUAACACAUGCAAGUCGAACGGAAAGGCCCUGCUUUUGUGGGGUGCUCGAGUGGCGAACGGGUGAGUAACACGUGAGUAACCUGCCCUUGACUUUGGGAUAACUUCAGGAAACUGGGGCUAAUACCGGAUAGGAGCUCCUGCUGCAUGGUGGGGGUUGGAAAGUUUCGGCGGUUGGGGAUGGACUCGCGGCUUAUCAGCUUGUUGGUGGGGUAGUGGCUUACCAAGGCUUUGACGGGUAGCCGGCCUGAGAGGGUGACCGGCCACAUUGGGACUGAGAUACGGCCCAGACGCCUACGGGAGGCAGCAGUGGGGAAUAUUGCACAAUGGGCGGAAGCCUGAUGAAGAAACGCCGCGUGCGGGAUGACGGCCUUCGGGUUGUAAACCGCUUUCGCCUGUGACGAAGCGUGAGUGACGGUAAUGGGUAAAGAAGCACCGGCUAACUACGUG